CAUAAAAAUUUCAAAAGGUGUGCCAUGGCAGCUAAUAACAAGACUACAGGUGAGGCUUAUAAUAAGGAGAAGCCUUGGAUGUGGGCAAUUUUGGCUUGCCAUUUGAGCAAGUGCCCUGAGACUGGGAGCUGGGAGUUUCUUGCUACUAAUUUCUAUGCAAAUGUCAAACUAGAGCAUGGCUUUUAUAGAGGUAAAAAAAGCACAAUCAUUCGACUUUCCCUCUACAGUGAGUUCUGAAACCAUUGGUAAACCCGUAAACAGUGGAAGUCCUUCCAAGGCCGGCCAAUUUCCUCCUGGAUACUGCUAGCCAUCACUGGACAUAAAAAACAGGCCAAAAAAAAUUCUUUUCCAGACAAUAUGUUUUGAAAAAAAAGAUGAACAUGUCGGAUUAUUUUUGUUGUGUAUUAUGUCUGUACCAAUGACUUGAUUUCAAGCUCUUGGCUUAUGGAUUCC
rnacentral:misc_RNA from 1 species